UACGUAGGGUGCGAGCGUUAAUCGGAAUUACUGGGCGUAAAGCGUGCGCAGGCGGCUUCGCAAGUCAGGCGUGAAAUCCCCGGGCUUAACCUGGGAAUGGCGUCUGAAACUACGGAGCUGGAGUGUGGCAGAGGGAGGUAGAAUUCCACGUGUAGCGGUGAAAUGCGUAGAGAUGUGGAGGAAUACCGAUGGCGAAGGCAGCCCCCUGGGCCAAUACUGACGCUCAUGCACGAAAGCGUGGGGAGCAAACAGG
rnacentral:rRNA from 1 species